rnacentral:rRNA from 1 species
UACGAAGGGUGCUAGCGUUGCUCGGAAUCACUGGGCGUAAAGCGCUCGUAGGCGGCCUCUUAAGUCGGUGGUGAAAUCCUGGAGCUCAACUCCAGAACUGCCUUCGAUACUGAGAGUCUCGAGUCCGGGAGAGGUGAGUGGAACUGCGAGUGUAGAGGUGAAAUUCGUAGAUAUUCGCAAGAACACCAGUGGCGAAGGCGGCUCACUGGCCCGAUACUGACGCUGAGGUGCGAAAGCGUGGGGAGCAAACAGG